GAAAUACUGUGAUUUUCUUUGGGAACCUGGACUGUUCUCUGCCCACGCCGGAGCUGAGUCUAAGAGAAAAGCACACACUGCCCU
rnacentral:pre_miRNA from 1 species